UACAGAGGGUGCGAGCGUUAAUCGGAAUUACUGGGCGUAAAGGGCGCGUAGGCGGCCUUCUAAGUCGAACGUGAAAUCCCUGGGCUCAACCCAGGAACUGCGUCCGAUACUGGAAGGCUUGAAUCCGGGAGAGGGAUGCGGAAUUCCAGGUGUAGCGGUGAAAUGCGUAGAUAUCUGGAGGAACACCGGUGGCGAAGGCGGCAUCCUGGACCGGUAUUGACGCUGAGGCGCGAAAGUCAGGGGAGCAAACGGG
rnacentral:rRNA from 1 species